AGAGUUUGAUCAUGGCUCAGAUUGAACGCUGGCGGAAUGCUUUACACAUGCAAGUCGAACGGCAGCACGGGAGCUUGCUCCUGGUGGCGAGUGGCGAACGGGUGAGUAACAUAUCGGAACGUAUCCAAUAAUGGGGGAUAACUAGUCGAAAGAUUAGCUAAUACCGCAUACGCCCUGAGGGGGAAAGCUGGGGAUCGUAAGACCUGGCGUUAAUGGAGCGGCCGAUAUCUGAUUAGCUAGUUGGUGGGGUAAAGGCCCACCAAGGCGACGAUCAGUAGCUGGUCUGAGAGGACGACCAGCCACACUGGAACUGAGACACGGUCCAGACUCCUACGGGAGGCAGCAGUGGGGAAUUUUGGACAAUGGGCGCAAGCCUGAUCCAGCCAUUCCGCGUGAGUGAAGAAGGCCUUCGGGUUGUAAAGCUCUUUCGCAAGGGAAGAAAACUUACUUUCUAAUAAAGAGUGAGGUUGACGGUACCUUGAUAAGAAGCACCGGCUAACUACGUGCCAGCAGCCGCGGUAAUACGUAGGGUGCGAGCGUUAAUCGGAAUUACUGGGCGUAAAGCGUGCGCAGGCGGUCUUGAAAGUCAGAUGUGAAAUCCCCGGGCUCAACCUGGGAACUGCGUUUGAAACUCCAAGACUAGAGUAUGGCAGAGGGGGGUAGAAUUCCACGUGUAGCAGUGAAAUGCGUAGAGAUGUGGAGGAAUACCAAUGGCGAAGGCAGCCCCCUGGGUCAAUACUGACGCUCAUGCACGAAAGCGUGGGGAGCAAACAGGAUUAGAUACCCUGGUAGUCCACGCCCUAAACGAUGUCUACUAGUUGUUGGGAGAGUAAAAUCUCUUAGUAACGCAGCUAACGCGUGAAGUAGACCGCCUGGGGAGUACGGUCGCAAGAUUAAAACUCAAAGGAAUUGACGGGGCCCGCACAAGCGGUGGAUUAUGUGGAUUAAUUCGAUGCAACGCGAAAAACCUUACCUGGCCUUGACAUGUACCGAAUUUGGCAGAGAUGCCUUAGUGCUCGAAAGAGAGCGGUAACACAGGUGCUGCAUGGCUGUCGUCAGCUCGUGUCGUGAGAUGUUGGGUUAAGUCCCGCAACGAGCGCAACCCUUGCCAAUAAUUGCCAUCAUUUAGUUGGGCACUUUAUUGGGACUGCCGGUGACAAACCGGAGGAAGGUGGGGAUGACGUCAAGUCCUCAUGGCCCUUAUGGCCAGGGCUUCACACGUAAUACAAUGGUCGGUACAGAGGGUUGCCAACCCGCGAGGGGGAGCUAAUCUCAGAAAGCCGAUCGUAGUCCGGAUUGAAGUCUGCAACUCGACUUCAUGAAG
rnacentral:rRNA from 1 species